AUAGCAGGAAGAAUAUUUCAGAGGGAAGCGGAUAUUUCCUAUAGUAAUCUUAUUCACUAAAAGCCAAUCAUUUUGAAUCUUUGCCAGAGCAUUCUUUUGUGUUUCAGGCGAAGCAGUUUCUUGAGCAAGUGAAGUGCAAGGCAAGUGGCUUUAAGGUCAGUUGUCUUCUCAGCACAAACAGGGGUGCAACUGUGUGUGUCGGACACCAUUUAGUUACACGGUAGUUCAUCAGAAAUAUCUAUAUCUUCUUUUGUCUCAGGAGUGCAAAAAUAUGUAACAAUUUGAUUCCUAGAUGUUGGAUCUCAGAAGAUGCCACCAUCAUUUUGUUUCUGCAUCAGCUUAUAAGUUGUUUUGUGUUAUGGAGUAAUUUGGAAUGUUCAACAAAAGCUAGAGCUAAGAGAAAUGGAUAUAAAGACCCUGGAAGAGGAACACAAUGCCCUUUUAUCAGACAAAGCUGGAGAAACUGAGUACUUGCAGUCUCUGCUAGACCAAAUUGAAAAACUGAAGGGAUUCACUUCCUGUUAAAUGUGCUUGCGGAGAAGAGUACAAGGUCUGUGUGGACCUUUGUGUGCGACAAAACAUGAACUAAGUGUUUCAACCUUGGAGAACUUGGAAGGAUUAGCAAAGAAUCAAUAUUGGACUAGAAUAUAUAUGUGACUUUCUAUACAGGUAAUCCCACAAACAGAGAAGAAUUUAAUUUUUUAAGACUAAUGUUGCAACAUGAAUCUGAUGAAACUAUAUAUUAAAGAUUUGUUCAAGAUUGGGUUUAAAUAAUUUUACCAAUAAAAAAUAUGGUUUUAGUAAUUUGAGUAGUUAAUUUCUUUGUGAAACUGAACAAAGGGAAUGCCUUUCUUUUAAGGUGUACACAUUGCUGGCCAAUAUAAUUCA